AGGGCUUCUCCUUCGGGAGCAGAGUGACAGGUGGUGCAUGGUUGUCGUCAGCUCGUGUCGUGAGAUGUUGGGUUAAGUCCCGCAACGAGCGCAACCCUUGAUCUUAGUUGCCAUCAUUAAGUUGGGCACUCUAAGGUGACUGCCGGUGACAAACCGGAGGAAGGUGGGGAUGACGUCAAAUCAUCAUGCCCCUUAUGACCUGGGCUACACACGUGCUACAAUGGACGGUACAAAGAGCUGCAAGACCGCGAGGUGGAGCUAAUCUCAUAAAACCGUUCUCAGUUCGGAUUGUAGGCUGCAACUCGCCUACAUGAAGCUGGAAUCGCUAGUAAUCGCGGAUCAGCAUGCCGCGGUGAAUACGUUCCCGGGCCUUGACACACCG
rnacentral:rRNA from 1 species